rnacentral:rRNA from 1 species
UACGGGGGGAGCAAGCGUUGUUCGGAUUUACUGGGCGUAAAGGGCGCGUAGGCGGCGCAACAAGUCACUUGUGAAAUCUCCGGGCUUAACCCGGAGCGGCCAAGUGAUACUGUCGUGCUAGAGUGCGGAAGGGGCUACUGGAAUUCUCGGUGUAGCGGUGAAAUGCGUAGAUAUCGAGAGGAACACCUGCGGCGAAGGCGGGUAGCUGGGCCGACACUGACGCUGAAGCGCGAAAGCCAGGGAGCGAACGGG